rnacentral:lncRNA from 1 species
ACAAAUCCAAUACAAAGAAUAUAAAGAAUCUUACUAAAAUUUCAUUGUUUAAUUGAAAAGAGGGUUUUUGGGCUCCAUGGGUGAAAGGGGACCCAUGGAUGAACUCCCACAUACCUUAAUUAGAUGAUUUCUUGAAGAUUCUUAGGAAUUUCUUGAGGUUUCUUGAACUUGGAAUCUUGAAUUCUUUGUGUUCUUAAGAGAUAGCCUUGAACUUGUUCAUGGGGUAAAAGAGAGGGUUUUUAUGAGAGUAAUUUUGAAGAAGAUUGGCAAAUAAUGCCCUUUUUUAUUUUAUAAAUCGUCCCUUGGACAUUUGGGAUUGAGGGGAAAGAACCAAAGUGCCCCUUGAUCCUUAAGAAAUUGAAAAUGUGAAGAAAUGGACCAGGUGACACAAUUUUCAGUUCAGGGUAAUAGAGACUGCAAAGCCCCUCUAUAGUGGCACCGUAAGGCCCACGACACGGGCAUAUCACCUCCAGUUACUGCCUCUUACCAAAAAAUCUAUAACUUUUCGGUUGGAAUUAAAAUUAAGGAAAAAUUGGUAUCGUUGGAAAGUUGAUUCAAUUAUCUACAAUUUGGUGGGUCUUGUGCUAAAUAAUUCUAUGUAUAUGAAAAGUUAUACACAUUUAAAGAAGACCCUUGUAGAAUCAAAUACCAAACUUUGGACGAAUUAGGCUCUAAGCUCAACUUUGUUCUAAGAAAUUCUUAUGAAUUAUUUUCACCUCGAAAACACAUCAAACUCGAGGAUAAAGAUCAUGAAACUUAUUUUCACAUGGAAAUCAUUUGGAUUAUAGCUUAGACAUAUAGGAACGUUGAUUCAAAGACUAGCCUGAAAAUGCGGGGUCUUAAAGUAUUAUAUGACAAAAGUUUAUAAAAAGAUAUAUAAAUUGAUGUCUCAUAUUAUGUGAUUAGGUUUUUUGUAUUAUAUGAAAUAAUAUAGGAGUAUCAAAAUAUUAUAUAAAUUGAUGUCUCACAUGAU